rnacentral:rRNA from 1 species
CGGGGGGGGCAAGCGUUGUCGGAAUUACUGGGCGUAAAGGGCUCGUAGGUGGCCAACUAAGUCAGACGUGAAAUCCCUCGGCUUAACCGGGGAACUGCGUCUGAUACUGGAUGGCUGGAGUUUGGGAGAGGGAUGCGGAAUUCCAGGUGUAGCGGUGAAAUGCGUAGAUAUCUGGAGGAACACCGGUGGCGAAGGCGGCAUCCUGGACCAACACUGACGCUGAGGAGCGAAAGCCAGGGGAGCAAACGGGAUUAGAUACCCCGGUAGUCCUGGCCCUAAACGAUGAAUGCUUGGUGUGGCGGGUAUCGAUCCCUGCCGUGCCGAAGCUAACGCAUUAAGCAUUCCGCCUGGGGAGUACGGUCGCAAGGCUG